AUUGAACGCUGGCGGCAUGCCUUACACAUGCAAGUCGAACGGCAGCGGGGACUUCGGUCCGCCGGCGAGUGGCGAACGGGUGAGUAAUGUAUCGGAACGUACCUUUCAGUGGGGGAUAACGUAGCGAAAGUUACGCUAAUACCGCAUAUUCUCUGAGGAGGAAAGCAGGGGACCUUCGGGCCUUGCGCUGAUGGAGCGGCCGAUAUCAGAUUAGCUAGUUGGUGGGGUAAAGGCUCACCAAGGCUACGAUCUGUAGCGGGUCUGAGAGGAUGAUCCGCCACACUGGGACUGAGACACGGCCCAGACUCCUACGGGAGGCAGCAGUGGGGAAUUUUGGACAAUGGGCGAAAGCCUGAUCCAGCCAUGCCGCGUGAGUGAAGAAGGCCUUCGGGUUGUAAAGCUCUUUCGGACGGGAAGAAAUCAUGAGGGCUAAUAUCCCUUGUGGAUGACGGUACCGUAAUAAGAAGCACCGGCUAACUACGUGCCAGCAGCCGCCGCGG
rnacentral:rRNA from 1 species